rnacentral:rRNA from 1 species
AACGUAGGACGCAAGCGUUAUCCGGAGUUACUGGGCGUAAAGCGCGGGCAGGCGGUCGGUCAAGUCUGAUGUGAAAUCUCUCCGCUCAACGGGGAGCAGCCAUUGGAAACUGGGCGACUGGAGUCUGUCAGAGGUAGGCGGAAUUCCGGGUGGAGUGGUGAAAUGCGUAGAGAUCCGGAGGAACACCAGAGGCGAAGGCGGCCUACUGGGUCAGUACUGACGCUGAGCCGCGAAAGCCAGGGGAGCGAACGGG